UACAGAGGGGGCAAGCGUUAUUCGGAAUUACUGGGCGUAAAGGGCGCGUAGGCGGCCUGUUAAGUCGAACGUGAAAUCCCCGGGCUCAACCCGGGAACUGCGUCUGAUACUGGGUGGCUUGAAUUCGGGAGAGGGAUGCGGAAUUCCAGGUGUAGCGGUGAAAUGCGUAGAUAUCUGGAGGAACACCGGUGGCGAAGGCGGCAUCCUGGACCGAGAUUGACGCUGAGGCGCGAAAGCCAGGGGAGCAAACGGG
rnacentral:rRNA from 1 species